UCGAUUCCCUUAGUAGCGGCGAGCGAAACGGGAAGAGCCCAAACCAACAAGCUUGCUUGUUGGGGUUGUAGGACACUCUAUACGGAGUUACAAAGGACGACAUUAGACGAAUCAUCUGGAAAGAUGAAUCAAAGAAGGUAAUAAUCCUGUAGUCGAAAAUGUUGUCUCUCUUGAGUGGAUCCUGAGUACGACGGAGCACGUGAAAUUCCGUCGGAAUCUGGGAGGACCAUCUCCUAAGGCUAAAUACUCUCUAGUGACCGAUAGUGAACCAGUACCGUGAGGGAAAGGUGAAAAGCACCCCGGAAGGGGAGUGAAAUAGAACCUGAAACCGUGUGCUUACAAGUAGUCAGAGCCCGUUAAUGGGUGAUGGCGUGCCUUUUGUAGAAUGAACCGGCGAGUUACGAUUUGAUGCAAGGUUAAGCAGUAAAUGUGGAGCCGUAGCGAAAGCGAGUCUGAAUAGGGCGUUUAGUAUUUGGUCGUAGACCCGAAACCAGGUGAUCUACCCUUGGUCAGGUUGAAGUUCAGGUAACACUGAAUGGAGGACCGAACCGACUUACGUUGAAAAGUGAGCGGAUGAACUGAGGGUAGCGGAGAAAUUCCAAUCGAACCUGGAGAUAGCUGGUUCUCUCCGAAAUAGCUUUAGGGCUAGCCUCAAGUGAUGAUUAUUGGAGGUAGAGCACUGUUUGGACGAGGGGCCCCUCUCGGGUUACCGAAUUCAGACAAACUCCGAAUGCCAAUUAAUUUAACUUGGGAGUCAGAACAUGGGUGAUAAGGUCCGUGUUCGAAAGGGAAACAGCCCAGACCACCAGCUAAGGUCCCAAAAUAUAUGUUAAGUGGAAAAGGAUGUGGCGUUGCCCAGACAACUAGGAUGUUGGCUUAGAAGCAGCCAUCAUUUAAAGAGUGCGUAAUAGCUCACUAGUCGAGUGACACUGCGCCGAAAAUGUACCGGGGCUAAACAUAUUACCGAAGCUGUGGAUUGUCCUUUGGACAAUGGUAGGAGAGCGUUC
rnacentral:rRNA from 1 species